AGUCCAGCCUCCCCCUUGUGAGCGACUGGAGCAAUCUGGCUAAGGAAGAAGAGGAGGAGGAGGAGGAGCUCUUUAAGAAUGUUACACAAGAGACGUCGGUAUCCCAGCUGGAUAAUUCAUAAGCUGAAAAGCAACAGCAUUUCUUGGUACGCCUGCUUUGGCAUACAUCAGCAUUUCUACCCGUCCAAGUGUCCUUUUGCGUCACAUCUCGCCAUCUCACUCAACCAAUGAAAUCUCCUUCUUGC